UUAUACUGUUGAAUAACAAGCCUUUAGUUUUCCAU
rnacentral:tRNA from 1 species